GACGAACGCUGGCGGCGUGCUUAACACAUGCAAGUCGAACGCUGAAGCUUGGUGCUUGCACUGGGUGGAUGAGUGGCGAACGGGUGAGUAAUACGUGAGUAACCUGCCCUUGACUCUGGGAUAAGCCUGGGAAACUGGGUCUAAUACUGGAUAUGACAUGCCACUGCAUGGUGGUGUGUGGAAAGGGUUUUACUGGUUUUGGAUGGGCUCACGGCCUAUCAGCUUGUUGGUGGGGUAAUGGCCUACCAAGGCGACGACGGGUAGCCGGCCUGAGAGGGUGACCGGCCACACUGGGACUGAGACACGGCCCAGACUCCUACGGGAGGCAGCAGCGGGGAAUAUUGCACAAUGGGCGGAAGCCUGAUGCAGCGACGCCGCGUGAGGGAUGACGGCCUUCGGGUUGUAAACCUCUUUCAGCACGGAAGAAGCGAGAGUGACGGUACGUGCAGAAGAAGCGCCGGCUAACUACGUG
rnacentral:rRNA from 1 species